UACGUAGGGGGCAAGCGUUGUCCGGAAUUAUUGGGCGUAAAGCGCACGUAGGCGGCCUUGUAAGUCGGAUGUGAAAUCCCUCGGCUUAACCGAGGACGUGCAUCCGAAACUGUGAGGCUCGAGUAUGGAAGAGGGUCGCAGAAUUCCCGGUGUAGAGGUGAAAUUCGUAGAUAUCGGGAGGAAUACCAGUGGCGAAGGCGGCGACCUGGGCCAAUACUGACGCUGAGGUGCGAAAGCGUGGGGAGCAAACAGG
rnacentral:rRNA from 1 species